GGAUGCGAUCAUACCAGCACUAAAGCAUCGGAUCCCAUCAGAACUCCAAAGUUAAGCGUGCUUGGGCGAGAGUAGUACUAGGAUGGGUGACCUCCUGGGAAGUCCUUGUGUUGCAUUCC
rnacentral:rRNA from 1 species